UUAAUGCUAAUCGUGAUAGGGGUUU
rnacentral:ncRNA from 5 species